rnacentral:ncRNA from 1 species
GGUACCCGCAUCAAGACGAAAAGACCCCAUGGAGCUUUACUAUAACUUCGUAUUGGAACUUGGCCUAACAUGUGUAGGAUAGGUGGGAGACGGUGAGACUGAGGCGCUAGCCUUAGAGGAGUCGACCUUGAAAUACCACCCUUGGUAUGUUGAGUUUCUAACUUGCCGCCUUUAUCAGGUGGGAGGACAGUGCGUGGUGGGUAGUUUGACUGGGGCGGUCGCCUCCUAAAAGGUAACGGAGGCGUUCAAAGGUACACUCAAUACGGUCAGAAACCGUAUGUAGAGCGCAAAGGUAGAAGUGUGCUUAACUGCGAGACCAACAAGUCGAGCAGAUGCGAAAGCAGGACUUAGUGAUCCGGCUGUACGUCAUGGAACGGCAGUCGCUCAACGGAUAAAAGUUACCCUGGGGAUAACAGGCUUAUCUUGCCCAAGAGAUCACAUCGACGGCAAGGUUUGGCACCUCGAUGUCGGCUCAUCGCAUCCUGGAGCUGGAGUAGGUUCCAAGGGUUUGGCUGUUCGCCAAUUAAAGCGGUACGCGAGCUGGGUUCAGAACGUCGUGAGACAGUUCGGUCCCUAUCUGAUGUGGGCGUUGGAAUAUUGAUGAGAGCUGCUCUUAGUACGAGAGGACCGGAGUGGACAUACCGCUGGUGUUCCAGUUGUUUCGCCAGAAGCAUAGCUGGGUAGCCAAGUAUGGAAAGGAUAACCGCUGAAAGCAUCUAAGUGGGAAGCCUCCUCAGAGAUGAGUAUUCCCUUGAAAUUCCUUGUAGACGACGAGGUUGAUAGGAUGGAAGUGUACGUGUAGUAAUACAUUCAGCUGACCAUUACUAAUAAAUUGAAAGGUUUAAAAGU